rnacentral:rRNA from 1 species
CGCCUCUUGUCCAACCAAAAUAAGAGGUCCCGCCUGCCCUGUGACUAAACGUUUAACGGCCGCGGUAUUUUGACCGUGCAAAGGUAGCGCAAUCACUUGUCUUUUAAAUAGAGACCUGUAUGAAUGGCACGACGAGGGCUUAACUGUCUCCUUAUCCGAGUCAAUGAAAUUGAUCUCCCCGUGCAGAAGCGGGUGUAACAACAUAAGACGAGAAGACCCUAUGGAGCUUUAAAUGGGUGGGUAACCUACGUUAAAAACCUUGGCUAAAAGAAUGAACUAAGUAAACCUUACCCACAUGUUUUUGGUUGGGGCGACCGCGGAGUAAAACCUAACCCCCGCGAAGAACGAAGAAUCCUUAAAACCACGAGCAUCAGCUCUAAUUAUCAAAACAUUUGACCUUUAGACCCGGCAAAGCCGAUCAACGAACCGAGUUACCCUAGGGAUAACAGCGCAAUCCUCUUUCAGAGUCCCUAUCGACAAGAGGGUUUACGACCUCGAUGUUGGAUCAGGACACCCCAAUGGUGCAGCCGCUAUUAAUGGUUCGUUU